rnacentral:rRNA from 1 species
AGGCCUAACACAUGCAAGUCGAGCGGUAGCACAGGGAGCUUGCUCUCUGCUUGACGAGCGGCGGACGGGUGAGUAAUGUCUGGGGAUCUGCCUGAUGGAGGGGGAUAACUACUGGAAACGGUAGCUAAUACCGUAUAACGUCGCAAGACCAAAGAGGGGGACCUUCGGGCCUCUUGCCAUCAGAUGAACCCAGAUGGGAUUAGCUAGUAGGUGGGGUAAUGGCUCACCUAGGCGACGAUCCCUAGCUGGUCUGAGAGGAUGACCAGCCACACUGGAACUGAGACACGGUCCAGACUCCUACGGGAGGCAGCAGUGGGGAAUAUUGCACAAUGGGCGCAAGCCUGAUGCAGCCAUGCCGCGUGUAUGAAGAAGGCCUUCGGGUUGUAAAGUACUUUCAGCGAGGAGGAAGGCGUUAAGGUUAAUAACCUUAAGCGAUUGACGUUACUCGCAGAAGAAGCACCGGCUAACUCCGUGUCAGCAGCCGCGGUAAUACGGAGGGUGCAAGCGUUAAUCGGAAUUUCUGGGGGUAAAGGGGAAGGCAGGCGGUUUGUUAAGUCGGAGGGGAAAACCCCGGGUUCAACCUGGGAACUGCAUUCGAAACUGGCAAGCUUGAGUCUUGUAGAGGGGGGUAGAAUUUCCAGGUGUAGCGGUGAAAUGCGUAGAGAUCUGGAGGAAUACCGGUGGCGAAGGCGGCCCCCUGGACAAAGACUGACGCUCAGGUGCGAAAGCGUGGGGAGCAAACAGGAUUAGAUACCCUGGUAGUCCACGCCGUAAACGAUGUCGACUUGGAGGUUGUGCCCUUGAGGCGUGGCUUCCGGAGCUAACGCGUUAAGUCGACCGCCUGGGGAGUACGGCCGCAAGGUUAAAACUCAAAUGAAUUGACGGGGGCCCGCACAAGCGGUGGAGCAUGUGGUUUAAUUCGAUGCAACGCGAAGAACCUUACCUACUCUUGACAUCCAGAGAACUUUCCAGAGAUGGAUUGGUGCCUUCGGGAACUCUGAGACAGGUGCUGCAUGGCUGUCGUCAGCUCGUGUUGUGAAAUGUUGGGUUAAGUCCCGCAACGAGCACAACCCUUAUCCUUUGUUGCCAGCGGUUCGGCCGGGAACUAAAAAAAGACUGCCAGUGAUAAACUGGAGGAAGGUGGGGAUGACGUCAAGUCAUCAUGGCCCUUACGAGUAGGGCUACACACGUGCUACAAUGGCGCAUACAAAGAGAAGCGACCUCGCGAGAGCAAGCGGACCUCAUAAAGUGCGUCGUAGUCCGGAUUGGAGUCUGCAACUCGACUCCAUGAAGUCGGAAUCGCUAGUAAUCGUAGAUCAGAAUGCUACGGUGAAUACGUUCCCGGGCCUUGUACACACCGCCCGUCACACCAUGGGAGUGGGUUGCAAAAGAAGUAGGUAGCUUAACCUUCGGGAGGGCGCUUACCACUUUGUGAUUCAUGACUGGGGUGAAGUCGUACCAAGGUAACCGUAGGGGAACCUGCGGCUGGAUCACCUCCUU